UCAGAAUUUUGUGAUUUAGAAUUGAAGUAUCUAUAUUCAUAAGGAUAAGUUAUGUUUAUAACCUGACAGGCUGAUUCUGCUUGCUGAUCAUUGCUUUGAUCUCUUCCUUUAAGGUCUGCCUUUCAUCUAUGAGGCAGUAAGCAAUAAACCAUCUAUACCAACAACAGCAUUUACAGAUGAGCAGAGUGCUGUGGCAAGCAAGGCUAACGGCAGGCACAUCAAUAUGCAGCUUCACAGACACAGAAGAAGAGAAGACAACAUGUGGCAAGGUAGGGGAAGCAGAAAGGAGGAGAGCAGAACUACCCCUUUUUGGCGACUGUGGUACCACAGCAUUCACUUGCUCUAGAGCCCCUUCUCAUCCCAACUGCUGCUGUCUGUGUGGUGCUGGCUGGUUCCCUGAACUUGCACAGAAAAGUGCAGGGCUUCCCUGGUUCUGCCAGCUUGUGCAGGUUUUCUGCUCUGUCCUCAAGCCCAGGUCUGCAAGGUAGGUUUCCUGUCUGUACCAGGAAAUCUACUGUUCAGAGAGAACGUUCACUUCUGAGCUCUGUAAAAUGCUGCUUUAAACAUUGCCACGUUCACACUGCAGUACCACGGCAGUUGCCUACGCUAUUCAUUACAAGGCUCUGUUCGGUAAAGGAUGUGACACUGCAAACAGAUCUCCAGAGAAGAGUGGGAGAGGGAAAAGGCAAUUUGGUGUUGCAGGAGGUUAAAUAGGAUGUUGAUUGCUUUCUCCUUUCAGACAUUAAAUGCAAAUUCAGGUGAUGAGUGAUAACUUGACUUAUAUUUUAGAUGUUAUUUUCCCUUACAUUUUAGUUAGGCUCUCUGUGUGUGCACAUGAUACUAUAUUUGUACUCUGCAUAUGUAUUUAGUGAAGAAAGCCUCGGUGAAUUCGUGAUUCCAUCUAUGGUGUUUAUUCCAAGCAUAAACUUAAGCUACGUUGUUGAUACAAAGGAAAGUGGCUUGGCUUCCUUUCAGCAGAGAGGAAUUCCUGAUGCCACCUAUGUCAGAAUCUGAAGAGGGUUAGCACAUGGAUAACUUCUUUAAAAUAAGCUUCGGUACCAACACAGACUAUGUGAUGGUGAGGGGAG
rnacentral:lncRNA from 1 species